CUUUAAGUCACUAGCAACGGAAGAACUACAUUUGAGUCUGUCCUGAAGAAAAUGUAACACAGAGACGUGCCAGUAUCGACAGAGUGAAGAAUGGAUAAUGUUCUGCACACAGAGAUGGAUUCACUGUAUCAUCUUGAAACCCUUCUCAAUUACUGGCACAAUAGGGGCUGCCCAUUCGCUGAAUCGUACAGGUUACCGCAGGAUGCAGUUCAUGCCCAGACCUGAUGGCAGAGCUGAGAAUGGGAAGCGAUGACCUAACAGGAGCUGAGAUGAUAGAGCUGGAUAAAGGACACGAUUUCACUAGAAAAUUUCAAAUGCUAUUAGAUUGUUAAUGAUAAUCUUAAAACUAUAAUUUACCUUAUUAGUAAAACAUUUAUUUAGCCUUGUUGUGCAAGCACUGUUGAGCACUGUUUUUUUCUCGAUUGGAGUUUUGGGUUCCUCGCCACCGUUUGCAUACUGUUUUGCACUAUUUGCCUAUCCGGGGGGGCUGCUUUAGAAGUAUAAAUAAAAAAAAUAUUGUUGGCAUAUAAAUUUGUUGUACCUUCAUUUUAAAUAUACUAUAUAUAAAAGCACAGACAAUGCAUAUGUACUGUAUAUUGUCAGGAUUAGGGUUUGAUUUUCCUUUCUUUCUGUUUUGGUUGGCUGUUCCUGUACAGCUGUUGCCACUCACUCUCUCUGGCCCUUGAGCACCUGUUCCUUGUUCCCAAUUAUCAUUCUCCCCUUCAUAUUCUCCUGUUAUUUUCUUUUCCGUUGCCAGUGUAUUUGCUCUUGUAGUUUUAACCACUUGCUAUCUCUUGUCUUGCCUAGCCCAGUUUUAUACUUGCCCUUUGUUCCCUGUCCCAGUGGUGGUAGACAUCUGGCCACUUCGUUCUCUGAACUGUCUUUUCUUAUUCGAUAUUGGUCGGUCGGACUACGAGCCUUCUUUACUCCAACCGAUGACGUUUGCACCUCGGCUGAGCUCCGGCUUCCUUGACUCUGACUCUUGCCUCGCCCCACCUCUCGUGGCAGCAGUGUUCCUUAUUUUAAUAUCAUCCUUUGUGUUUUAUAGACUCUUGCCUUUCUCUGCCACACCCCACGGCUCUACGAAGCAGUAAACCUCAGUUUUGUUGUAUCCCUUGUGUUUAAUAAACUCUGCUAAUCUA